UCACACUUUAAGAGCAUUUUUCAUUUGAAAACCACAAAAUGUGUAUCCAGAUUCAAACACAUUACUUGUAUACCAAUGAACAUCCUUUAUAAAUAGAUUUAGAAUAGAUAUAAAUACAGUUUAAGAUUACUCACUUUUAAUCUAAUAUUGGCUGUGAUUUUUAGAAACAACUUGGCCACUAACAGGAAAAUAACAAGUCCAAUAAAUAUGAAGAGCUGCUUCAGAGGAAAGGCUCUUGUAUUAAUUAACUUAUAUUGACUCUAUAAACAAUUUAUUAUAGAUAAGGUUUUGCCCGCUCAGAUGGCACUGAUAUCUGGUCUGGCCCAUAUUUGGGUGGAGUCGCCUUUAAAAUAAAGGAUUAGGUCUCUGUUUUCACAGACAGACUUGGAGGAGACACCAGCGAGACGACAUUCACAGGGAAACCACAGGUUGGACACAAAAAUCACCACUUAAGUGCUGAAAAAACGUUAAAAAUGGGGAACGUACCGUCAGAAAGUAACAUGGGCGAAAACCUGAGAUGCUGCAAGUGUGAUAUAGUCCUGCCUCCGUGCAAAUCCUUCGAUGAUUUCCACAAAAGUACUGUUCAUGGUAUAUACUACAGACCGGUUGGCGCUGAUAAUAUGUACGAGUGUGCAUCCUGCUUUAAUAAGCCAAUCAGGGAUCAAGAGGAGGAGAGAGGAGACCGGGUUACCAGCAGAAUGUAAUAUGGGUGACCGCCUGAGAUGCUGCAAGUGUGAUAAAGUCCUGCCUCCGUGCAAAUCCUUCGAUGAUUUCCACAAAAGUACUGUUCAUGGGCAGCUUGUGUAUGUGUUCAAUGGAGGAGAAUACUACAGACCGGUUGGCGCCGAUAAUAUGUACGAGUGUGCAUCCUGCUUUAAUAAGCCAAUCAGGGAUCAAGAGGAGGAGACCGGUUACCAGCAGAAUGUAAUAUGGGUGACCGCCUGAGAUGCUGCAAGUGUGAUAAAGUCCUGCCUCCGUGCAAAUCCUUCAAUGAUUUAUAUGUAACUACUCUUAAUGAGCAGCGAGUGUAUGUGUUCAAUGGAGGCGAAUACUACAGACCAUAUGAAGUCUUUAAGCACGAGUGUGCAAAAUGCUUUGAGAGUAAAUGAGGAGACAGGAGACUGGAGAAAGUCCUAAACACUGUCUGAGAUUAGAUCAGGUAGGAUUUCAGAUUCAGGAUGUUUCUUUAAUGAGGAGCCUUUGGGGUUUUUUUACAGUCCAAAUCUUGUUUCGACUGUUUUGACAUCAAAAAGGAGAAAACUUCAAGUGUCAAUGUUGGAUUAUACAUUAUUCCUGAUGUUGUAUUGCUAUUAAAUGUUUCAGGC